UAUCUACUUACAAUAAAAUUAAAUUUUAGUGAUUUAAAUUUUAAUUAAAAUCUAAAUUCUAUUAUAAAAAUUUAAAAGAAACACAACAAGAACUAAAAUUAUAAAAGAAAGUAACUGUGUACUAGGAUCUACUAAAUAUAUUCUAGCUUCCACUUGCGAUUAAAAUAAAAACCAAUAAAUUUAAAGAGAAUAAAAUUACUUUUACAUUAAUUAUAAUC
rnacentral:lncRNA from 1 species